rnacentral:rRNA from 1 species
UACGGAGGGGGCUAGCGUUGUUCGGAAUUACUGGGCGUAAAGCGCACGUAGGCGGUUAUUUAAGUCAGAGGUGAAAGCCCGGGGCUCAACCCCGGAAUAGCCUUUGAGACUGGAUAGCUUGAAUCCAGGAGAGGUGAGUGGAAUUCCGAGUGUAGAGGUGAAAUUCGUAGAUAUUCGGAAGAACACCAGUGGCGAAGGCGGCUCACUGGACUGGUAUUGACGCUGAGGUGCGAAAGCGUGGGGAGCAAGCAG